GAUGAACGCUGGCGGCGUGCUUAACACAUGCAAGUCGAACGGAAAGGCCUCUGCUUGCAGGGGUACUCGAGUGGCGAACGGGUGAGUAACACGUGGGUGAUCUGCCCUGCACUUCGGGAUAAGCCUGGGAAACUGGGUCUAAUACCGGAUAGGACAAUGGUUUGGAUGCUGUUGUGGAAAGUUUUUCGGUGUGGGAUGAGCUCGCGGCCUAUCAGCUUGUUGGUGGGGUAAUGGCCUACCAAGGCGUCGACGGGUAGCCGGCCUGAGAGGGUGUACGGCCACCAUUGGACUCGGAGACCGCCCAGACUUCUACGGGUUGGAGGAGUGGGGGAGAUUGGCCAAUGGGCGCCAGACUGUUGCAGCGACGCCGCGUGGGGGAUGACGGCCUUCGGGUUGUAAACUCCUUUCGCUAGGGACGAAGCGUUUUUGUGACGGUACCUUGAGAAGAAGCACCGGCUAACUACGUG
rnacentral:rRNA from 1 species